rnacentral:rRNA from 1 species
GACGAACGCUGGCGGCGUGCCUAAUACAUGCAAGUAGAACGCAGUUGCGAACGGGUGAGUAACGCGUAGGUACCUGCCUCCUUGCGGGGGAUAAAUAUUGGAAAAUAUAGCUAAUUACGCAUACUGUGUGAUGGACCUGCGUGGUAUUAGCUAUUUGGUAAGGUAAAGGCUGACCAAGGCGACGAUACAUAGCCGACCUGAGAGGUGGAUCGGCCACACUGGGACUGAGACACGGCCCAGACUCCUACGGGAGGCAGCAGUAGGGAAUCUGCGGAAAUGGACGGAAGUCUGACCGAGCAACGCCGCGUGAGUGAAGAAGGUUUUCGGAUCGUAAAGCUCUGUUGUUAGAGAAGCGGUACCUAACCAGAAAGGGACGGCUAACUACGUGCCAGCAGCCGCGGUAAUAC